AAGUCGUAACAAGGUCUCCGUUGGUGAACCUGCGGAAGGAUCAUUAACAAAUCUAUGAGCGAAAGCUCAUCAACCUUUGUGAAUUGGGUUGUAUAGUUGGUAACAAAUAUACAAUUUCGUUGGGGUCCCUUUGUGUAAUAGAAAGAUUAUUUCUAAAGAUUUUCUGAAGAUUAUUUCUAAAGAAUAUUUCUAAAAGAAUAUUUUGAAAGAUUUAAUUUUUUCUAUUGCAUAUAUAUAUUAACAUUGUCUGAUUAUAGAUUGAAGUCGUAAGAUUUCAAAUAAAAAUACAACUUUUAACAAUGGAUCUCUAGGCUCUU
rnacentral:misc_RNA from 1 species